rnacentral:rRNA from 1 species
CAAGGCCUUUACUGACGCUAAAGCUCGAAAGGUGCGGGUAUCGAACAGGAUUAGAUACCCUGGUAGUCCGCACGGUAAACGUUGGAUGCCCGCUGUUUGCGAUAUACUGUGAGCGGCCAAAGAGAAAUCGUUAAGCAUCCCACCUGGGGAGUACGCCGGCAACGGUGAAACUCAAAAGGAAUUGACGGGGGCCCGCACAAGCGGAGGAACAUGUGGUUUAAUUCGAUGAUACGCGAGGAACCUUACCCGGGCUUGAACUGCAGCGGAAGGAAACAGAGAUGUUGACGUCCUUCGGGACCGCUGUGGAGGUGCUGCAUGGUUGUCGUCAGCUCGUGCCGUGAGGUGUCGGCUUAAGUGCCAUAACGAGCGCAACCCCUUUCAUUAGUUGCCAUCACUUCGGGUGGGCACUCUGGUGAUACUGCCACCGUAAGGUGUGAGGAAGGUGGGGAUGACGUCAAAUCAGCACGGCCCUUACGUCCGGGGCUACACACGUGUUACAAUGGGUGAUACAGAUGGCCGGUGCAUGGCAAUGUGCAUCAAAUCUUAAAAGUCAUCCUCAGUUCGGAUUGGGGUCUGCAACCCGACCCCAUGAAGCUGGAUU